CACCACAGACAGGAAGCUAUUCUAUCUAUGUCUCCGGAUUAUUUCUCCGGAGCUCAUGUAACUUCUGUCCUCGUGCGCAAGCACGUCUAUCCAGCUCUGCCAGAUCCCACUUAAGGGAUGUUCCAGGAGAGGUAUAGCCGCACUUGCCACCACAGACAGAAAGUUAUUCUACUUAUGUUACUUAUGUUACUUAUUUUACUAAUAUUACUCCUAUUUCUAUUCAUGUAUGUGCUAAUACACUAUAUAUGUAUAUUUGUAUGUGUGGAACUAAUAAGUACAGUAUAAAUAUGUUGACAUUAAAUUUAUUACAUAUAUUUUUAUAGCACUAUAUGAGUGUACUUAAUCCAUUUAACCAAUAACCAUCUCCUGCUACCACAUAUUCAGAAAUUCUAUUUUUAUCCGGUUCUUUCUUCACUUGCCACACGUUUCACAAUUCAAGACAUUAUACCAAUUGCAACAUCAUAAAAUCACAGAAUUACAACCACAAAUCAAACCUAUCUAUUCUAAUUUUCUAAUCAUGCAUUCCCACCAGCCACCUGAUCAGGACUUUUCCACCUGUCACCUAAGCCCUGCUAAAGGAAUUUUCCAGUCCCUAGAGCAGCGGUUAUACAGGAAUUUUCCGCUGGAAUUUUUCCACUCGCCCGUUCAGCCCUAUCUAUCAUGCCAAUCAUUAUACCUGGACGUACUAUGGUAUCAUGAUGAUAGCGGUAUCCACAAGAUUUCCUUUCACACCGUAGUUGUAUACUACAUAUUACCACGGUACCUAGGUAUAUUGUAGUACACGGUUACUUAUUCCAUGCCAACGCAUGCACGCACCUACACAAUCACACACCCUACCUACCAGUAUUUUCUUCUAUCCACUCUUCCAAUCAACACUAUUUGUUAAUUGAAGGCAGCCCUACUUGUAAAAUGUUACAAUUCAAGACAAUCACAACAGAAUUACACAAUACAAAUAACAACCAACAAGCUCAGCUCAGCAAGCACAAAAGCACAAAGCACAUUAAUCAACAUCAAUUUAUAAGCGCAUACUUUUUUGCUAUUUCUUCAAAUUGCAUUUACAUUAAUACACAUUACAUUACUCAAUUUCCACAUAAUUUGGUUCCCGGGGCCAGCCAGCCGUCCCCCAAGAAUCACCCGACCCCCACAGACAGCAGAAAAACUAUAGCAGAAUUUGAAUAACAGGUUUCUGCUUACCUUGUUCCUAUUGCCGCGGCAGUUCCGCUGACUGCGUAGGGUCGCCGACCCCCAUGGGGCUGCAACGACCAGCCGGGGUAUCCUAUGCCGACAACGCCAAUAUGUCGUGGCAAAUUUGCUGUGUACUAUGCCAAAUUUCCAAAACAAAAUCAAUAACUACUCAAGCACUGAAAUAGCAAAAGAGUUUAUUGCAGCCAAAAGUAAAUGGACAGCACUGGGCCAGCCAGACAAAAGACAAACAGACAAACUGCGAAGCUGUCUAUCUCUCACCUCCUCUAACUUCCCUAAUUUUACAUGGUUUAUAUACCUUCAUUUAACACUUACAUCAUUGUUUGCUCCUCCUUAAGUCAAGAAAUCACUUAAUAUUUAUUAGAUGUAAGCCAAUUUUGCCUAGGUUAGGUUGAUGUAGCGCCUCCCAAUUGCGUAAUCUCCCUUUUUUUCCUUUUUUUUUUCAUCUCAUAUUUAUUUAAGUCUGGGCCUACGAAGUCUUAUGCUUUCCCUUUUUUGGAGAAAUUUGGUUUGUUCCUGUUUCUUGACCAGACCAUUGACCACCGCUGGUGACUUGAGGUUUUGUUGAAGCCGCAAUCAAUUUUUCUAAAAUUUCCUCAUCAAGAUGUUUCGCAGGCAGCGCUCUUCUCGUACAUCUUCUCGUCUAAGAUUCCUUCUGGGAGCAGGUGGCUACACCUUCCCUUACCCGAAUCGUCACAAUUUGUGUCUGAUUCGAGCUCUGAUGGGCCUAGUCCGCCACCUGGAAGUUGUGAUUGCCGAGAUUGAGGCCCUCUCUCCACCACGACGUUUCCCAGUGGGACCUUACUACAGGUCCACCGGUGUUCCACCAUCCGGUGAUUUCACCCCUGCUUCUCCUCCAUCUUCACCAACCGUCAGCCUCAAUCCCACCUCUCCAGUUCGUUAUUCUCAUUCUUCUGAGGAUGAGGAUACCGCUGAAGAUCAUUAAUUUACUUUUUACUUCACCUGAUAUACUUCUUAUAUUUUCUUAACAAUUUGAUAAAUCUAAUCUUGUUUAUCUGUUUUUCAAAGCAGAAGUCUGGCUUUUUUGCACUUUGUCCCAAUUAAAGCAGAACCGAAAGUUUAUUUUUAUAUUUUGGAUCACUGCCUGCACUUUCUGAAUUUUCCAUUCCAAUAAAGUUGCACAACUUCUUGCA